GAUGAACGCUAGCUACAGGCUUAACACAUGCAAGUCGCGGGGCAGCAUGGGGGUUGCUUGCAAUCCCCGAUGGCGACCGGCGCACGGGUGAGUAACGCGUAUUCAACCUGCCCUUCACCACGGGAUAACCCGGCGAAAGUCGGACUAAUACCGUAUGUUGUCCAUUGACGGCAUCCGAUUUGGACGAAAGGCUUGGCGGUGAGGGAUGGGGAUGCGUCCGAUUAGCCAGACGGCGGGGUAACGGCCCACCGUGGCUACGAUCGGUAGGGGUUCUGGGAGGAAGGUCCCCCACACUGGAACUGAGACACGGUCCAGACUCCUACGGGAGGCAGCAGUGAGGAAUAUUGGUCAAUGGGCGUAAGCCUGAACCAGCCAAGUAGCGUGCAGGAUGACGGCCCUAUGGGUUGUAAACUGCUUUUAUGCGGGGAUAAAGUGGCCCACGUGUGGGCUUUUGCAGGUACCGCAUGAAUAAGGACCGGCUAAUUCCGUG
rnacentral:rRNA from 1 species